UACGAAGGGGGCGAGCGUUUAUUCGGAAUCACUGGGCGUAAAGCGUGCGUAGGCUGUUUUAUAAGUUGGAAGUGAAAGCCCAGGGCUCAACCCUGGAAUUGCUUUCAAAACUAUAAGACUCGAAUCUCGGAGAGGAUAGCGGAAUUUCCAGUGUAGUAGUGAAAUACGUAGAUAUUGGAAGGAACACCAGUGGCGCAAGCGGCUAUCUGGACGAGCAUUGACGCUGAGGCACGAAAGCGUGGGGAUCAAACAGG
rnacentral:rRNA from 1 species